AGAACGAACGCUGGCGGCGUGGAUAAGACAUGCAAGUCGAACGGAAUAAUUUGGUAGCAAUAUUAAAUUAUUCAGUGGCGAACGGGUGCGUAACACGUGGAUACAUGCCGGGAAGCGAGGGAUAGCCCAGGGAAACUUGGAUUAAUACCUCAUGUGGUCGCAAGACUAAAGGCGGGGUAACCUGCCACUUCCUGAUUGGUCCGCGGCCUAUCAGCUUGCUGGUGAGGUAAUGGCUCACCAAGGCUACGACGGGUAGCUGGUCUGAGAGGAUGACCAGCCACACUGGAACUGAGACACGGUCCAGACACCGUACGGGUGCAGCAGUCGAGAAUCUUUACACAAUGGGGGCAACCCUGAUGGAGCGACGCCGCGUGGAGGAUAAGGUCUUCGGAUUGUAAACUCCUGUCAUGCGAGAGCAAGACUUGCAGGUCUAACUCC
rnacentral:rRNA from 1 species